AUACCUUUCUCGGCCUCCGGCUAAGAUCAAGUGUAGUAUCUGUUCUUAUCAGUUUAAUAUCUGAUACGUGGAUCUUUGGAUCCACACAUGAUAUUAAUUUAUUUUUUUAUGGGGAGAAUCUAUUUAUGUAGCUUGCUACAUGGAUGGUUCUUAUGUGUCGUCCAAGCGUUUCACUACUGCUUCGGAACAGACACACUCCAA
rfam:Triticum aestivum genome assembly, contig: Triticum_aestivum_CS42_TGACv1_scaffold_433000_5DL